CGUGUGGUUCUAUUUUGUUGGUUAUGGGACCGCCGUAAUGAUUAAUAGGGACAGUCGGGGGCAUCAGUAUUCAAUUGUCAGAGGUGAAAUUCUUGGAUUUAUUGAAGACUAACUACUGCGAAAGCAUUUGCCAAGGAUGUUUUCAUUAAUCAGGAACGAAAGUUAGGGGAUCGAAGACGAUCAGAUACCGUCGUAGUCUUAACCAUAAACUAUGCCGACUAGGGAUCGGGCGAUGUUACUUUUUGACUCGCUCGGCACCUUACGAGAAAUCAAAGUCUGUGGGUUCCUGGGGGAGUAUGGUGGCAACGCUGAAACUUAAAGAAAUUGACGGAAGGGCACCACCAGGGGUGGAGCCUGCGGCUUAAUUUGACUCAACACGGGGAAACUCAC
rnacentral:rRNA from 1 species